rnacentral:rRNA from 1 species
CACGUAGGGGGCGAGCGUUGUCCGGAUUUAUUGGGCGUAAAGAGCUCGUAGGCGGUUCGGUAAGUCGGGUGUGAAACCUCCAGGCUCAACCUGGAGACGCCACCCGAUACUGCUGUGACUAGAGUCCGGUAGGGGAGCGUGGAAUUCCUGGUGUAGCGGUGAAAUGCGCAGAUAUCAGGAGGAACACCAGCGGCGAAGGCGGCGCUCUGGGCCGGAACUGACGCUGAGGAGCGAAAGCGUGGGGAGCAAACAGG